rnacentral:piRNA from 1 species
UACAUCGCAAAACCCUACCUUGGCAGC